UCUCCCAUUCGGUCAAUUGAACCUUAAAAUUCUCCCCCAAAAGAGGUGUUGGAUAUUUAAAUUGGGUCACGGAUCUCUCCAUAUGGGCUGACCCUAUCCAUUUGAAAAGGAUAAGGAUAGAAGUUACGGAAUAACUUCCCUGAAGAGAAGUUACUGCCAAACGUGGUUAAUUUAAGAGAUGGGAAAAUCAGUUUUCUGCUAAUCUCUUGAACGCCCUUCUUAAGAAAAAGAAAACCAACUCUCUGUUCUUCUUCUUCUUUCAAGAAGAAAACUUUUCUCUGGUUGUGCUAUGUUGACACAAUUCGAAAGGCAUUUAGUUCUUGAAAAUCAACUUCGUUUUCUAGUGAAUCGAAGUUCGACUUGGGGGAACUUUUUCGAUGGUGAGUUCAACGAUCUUCCGCAACGCUAGAAAGGUUCGGGUGAAGGGCAAGCAUCGGAGUAAGGGAUUCUUUAAGUGGUGGCUUGACGGAUAAGCCUUAAAUACUCAGUGCUUUUAUCCGUAAUGACGUCCCAUUGCACGGGACGCUGCAUUUCGUGCUGCAAGCACUGACAGGGUUAUUGUGGAGCGACCGCAUUAGGAUUUUCCAGCUUCAGCGGUGUUAGCAAGUGCCACUUCUCCGGACUUGCUGUCAUUUGGUAUUUUUCUGCUAGUGUAGUAUAUGUUCAUAGGUACACUCUUAGAGGCUCAAAGACAUAGUGGGGUAUGUAUAUAUUGUGUAUGGUCACGUUAGCUUUGUCUUGGUCUGUGAUACUUUCCUGUUAGCCUUGUCGGCUUUAUGAUACUCGUGAUGUUGUGGCGACCUUGUCGGUUCGAUUAUGUACAAAUAUGUUGGAUUAUCGGAUAUUUCUAUGUUGGGUCUUUUCUGUGUGCAGGUGUUCUUUGAAUUACAGUAUAUGAAGUUCAAAGUAACUGCUAAGUCUGGUGGUCUCCGGCCCAUGGGGCGGAGCCCGUCAUACUCCUCGUCGGGGUGUGACAGGUGAUCUCAUAUAGUCUUAUCAUGAUCAGUGAAGACCAUUUCAUCUAAGUGAAAAAGUCCAAUAGAAUGUUUGUAAUUCAUUUCCUUUACGUGGAUGAUAUUUUAUUAGCCGAAAAUAAUUUGGAGUAUGUGAAAACUAUCAAGUCAUGGAUUUCAAAGUUAUUUGACAUGAAAUACAUGGGUGAAUCUGACUAUAUAUUGGGUGUUAAGAUCCAAAAUAUCAUUGCAGAAAAGCUUUUUGAGUAUGUAUCAAGAAACAUAGAUAAGGAAAGUUUGGAACGCUUUUGAAUGAAUAGUUGUAAACCCGUGGAUACUCCUAUGGCAAGAGGUGAAACUUUGAGCCUUGAUCUGUGUCCAAAGACUAAAAAAUAAAAGGAAGACAUGCCUCGAGUUUCAAAUUCAAGUGUUGUCAGGAUCUUGAUGUACGCUAUGAGGUGCACUUGUUCAGACAUUUGUUAUGCCAUAAGUCUGGUAGCAGGUAUCAUGGUAGCAGGUAUCAAUCCAAUACUGGAAGAGAUCAUUGAAAUAUGUGAAGAGGAUUUUCUGAUACUUGAAAGGAACUGCAAAUUAUUCACUAUUCCAUAGUGGAUCUGAUUUACUCCUGAGAGGUCAUAUAGAUGUUGAUUGGGCUGGUGACCAGAAUGAUAGAAAAUAAAUUUUUGGCUAUGUUUUCUUACUUACUGGUGGUACUAUUUCACAAAGUAAGAAACAAACUUGCACGGUCCUUUCGUCCAUGGAAGCUGAAUUCAUGGCUUGUGCAUCUGUAGUACAAGAAGUUGUUUGGUUAAGGAUUCUUUGAGCAUUAUCAUGUUGCAAAGAAUUCUCAGGGUUCCAUAAUUUUAUAUAGUGGUAGUCAAGAGGCUAUUGCAUUUACAAAGGAUCCUAAGUUUCAUAAUAAGAUCAAACAAAUUGAUUUCAAAUACAUAUAACUUCGUUAGACAUCAUGGCAAGUGGAAACAUAACAUUGCAAUACAUGUCUUCACAAAGAUGAUGGUUGAUCCUCUUACAAAAAUCAAUAUCUAGAGACAUAUUUGAGAAACAUGUUGUGGCUCUAGGUUUGCGAAGGGUAUGUUGAAAUUUAUGUAAUGCAAAAUAUACUCAUCGAUGAAUUAUGAUUGAGAUUAUGUUGAUAUUCUAUAUGCAUGUGAUGAUAUCUUAGUGAAGGAUGUAAGUGUGUCGAACAAGUCACGAGAUUGGCUCUCUCACACGAGCAAUUUCCUCUUACGUUGAGGAACAUGAAGAGAUGAAUUCUACCACCAUGUUAUGACUUGUUUGUAAGCCAGAUAUGAGUUUCUCUAAGAAGAUGAAUUUGAGGAUCAUUGAAGAGAAAAACUCUGGUUAGACAUCUCAAGGUGUCUAGACCAAGAUCUGUGCAGUGUUGAAUGAGAAAAAUAAUGAGACAUGCGCGCUAACAUAAGGUGAGAACACCGUAGCACGUGUUUCAUACCACGUGUGCUUAGCGACUAAUGGGUUAAUGGGAAAUGGGUCUCUGCUUCUUUAUUUUGUGAGACCCAGAAAGUUAUAAUAUUGACUUUCCAUUGGAACACCCUUUGACCUUUUACUGUUUCUUGAAGUACAAAUCAAUGUUGCUACUUUAUCAUGUCACUAAUAGCUAUGAGUGAUUCGACAAUGCAGUGCAUUUCUAGGAAAGCAAUUGAUUUGUCACUACUAAAAAAACAGCGUUUAGUGACGGACGUAUUCCGUCGCUAAUCAGCAUAUAUCUGUUGCUAAACAUGUGUUGCGACGAAUUAGCGACGGAUUAGCGUCUGUUAUGAUUUUGCGCGUUGCUAACCUAUUAGCGACGGAAAAUUUAAAUCCGUCGCAAACUUAGCGACAGAGCAGCGACGUAUGAGAUCCGUUGCACAUUAUAGCAACGGAUUAUUUUUGUUGCUAUUGUUAUAAAUUCCGUGACUAAUUUCAUAUUUCAUUUCGUCGUUUUAGUAAAUUAGCGACGAAAACCAUUGUCGCUAAUCCGUCGCAAAAUAUUGAAUUAUUUGUGCCUGCAUUUAGCGACAAUAGAAUAUUUGUCCCUCUAGCAACGACCAAAAUCCGUCGCAAAUCUAUCACAAAUAUUUUUCUUCUGU